rnacentral:tRNA from 1 species
GCCGCCUUAGCUCAGUUGGUUAGAGCGCCUGCUUGUGGAGCAGGAGGUCUCUGGUUCGAGACCAGAAGGCGGUACCA